rnacentral:snoRNA from 1 species
AUGGCCCUGAAUCAAGGCUGGUGGCUUGUUGUAGCUAUUAGUUUCAAGCAGGAGCCCAGAUCAACCUCUUCCUGUGGUCUGUUGGCUGUGCAUAUUUUCGAUUUGACCCAGCCAAUUCAGUUGGAAGAAAUAUUU